rnacentral:rRNA from 1 species
GGAACCUGGUUGAUCCUGCCAGUAGUCAUAUGCUUGUCUCAAAGGUUAAGCCAUGCAUGUGUAAGUUUAAACUUUUAUAUAGUAAAACUGCGAAUGGCUCAUUAAAACAGUUAUAGUUUAUUUGAUGGUUAAAUCCUAAAUGGAUAACUGUGGUAAUUCUAGAGCUAAUACAUGCGUAAAUACUCGACUUUUUG